rnacentral:rRNA from 1 species
UACGUAGGGUGCGAGCGUUGCCCGGAUUUAUUGGGCGUAAAGGGCGCGCAGGCGGCUCGGCACGUCCGUUGUGAAAUCGCCCGGCUCAACUGGGCGGGGUCAGCGGAUACGGUCGAGCUUGAGCAAGCUAGGGGGCAAUGGAAUUCCCGGUGUAGUGGUGGAAUGCGUAGAUAUCGGGAGGAACACCAGUGGCGAAGGCGGUUGCCUGGAGCUUUGCUGACGCUGAGGCGCGAAAGCGUGGGGAGCGAGUCCGG